rnacentral:rRNA from 1 species
GACGUCAAGUCCUCAUGGCCUUUAUGUCCAGGGCUACACACGUGCUACAAUGGUCGGUACAAACCGUCGCAAACCUGCGAAGGGGAGCUAAUCGGAAAAAGCCGGCCUCAGUUCGGAUUGGUCUUUCUCGUUUCGACUCCAUGAAGCUGGAAUCGCUAGUAAUCGCGGAUCAGCACGCCGCGGUGAAUACGUUCCCGGGUAAUUUCUCACCGCCCGUCACAUCACGAAAGUGGACUGCAUAUCCCCCAUAAGCCAACCGCAAGGGGGCAGCCGUCCAAGGUA